AUGUGUGUACCCAAAAAUCAAGGGGGCAUGGGGUUCCGGGAUAUUCAUUGUUUCAACCUAGCAAUGCUGGCAAAACAAGCAUGGCGUAUUAUUGAGAAUCCAGAUUCCUUAUGUGCGACCAUGUUGAGAGCUAAAUAUUUCCCAAACGGUGAUUUAUUAAAUACAAAGCUAAAAAAGGGCUCUUCUUUUACUUGGCAACGUAUUAUGGCAGGGGUUAAUUGUCUAAAUCUUGGUUAUAUUUGGCGUGUUGGAAAUGGUCACAACAUUGAUGUUUGUGAAGAUGCUUGGAUUCCUAGUUGUGCAAAUAGAAAAGUAAUCACACCGAGAGGGAGUAAUUUGAUCUCAAGGGUAUCUGAUUUAAUUGAUCCUGCUACUAGUAAUUGGGACGAAAAUCUAGUUACACAAAUGUUCUGGCCAGUUGAUGCACAAAGGGUCCUUGCAAUUCCUUUGUCACAACAUGAUAUGUCAGAUUUUGUCGCUUGGAGCUAUUCAAAGAAUGGAACUUUUCUGUUCGAUCAGCCUAUGCAGUGCAAUGGGAACACCAACACGGGAGGAAAUUAA
rnacentral:rRNA from 1 species